GUACACGCUGUGACUAGCAUAUCAAUAAGCGGAGGAAAAGAAACUAACAAGGAUUCCCUUAGUAACGGCGAGUGAAGCGGGAAGAGCUCAAAUUUGAAAUCUUCAAGGUUUUACCUUGACGAAUUGUAGUUUAAAGAAGUGUUUUCUGCUGAAGUUUUGGUAAAAGUUCUUUGGAAUAGGACAUCAUAGAGGGUGAGAAUCCCGUAUUUGACCAUUAUUUUCAGCUGUGUGAUACACUUUCAAAGAGUCGGAUUGUUUGGGAAUGCAGUCCAAAAUGGGUGGUAAAUUUCAUCUAAAGCUAAAUAUUGGCGAGAGACCGAUAGCGAACAAGUACCGUGAGGGAAAGAUGAAAAGAACUUUGAAAAGAGAGUUAAAUAGUACGUGGAAUUGUCAAAAGGGAAGCGUUUGACACCAGUGUUGUUUUCUCGAAAAUCAAUUAAAAAAGGCUCGAUUUUGUAUUGUUGAGACCUUAAAAGCUCACUGUACAUUUUUCGUGUCUUUUUUAAUGCACUUUUCGUUUAACAAGUCAACAUCAGUUUCUUUUGUUGUAAAAGGGUCAUUGGAAGGUGGCUUUCUUUUCGGAGAAAGUGUUUAUAGCCUUUGGCCUCUGCAAUCGGAAGAGACUGAGGUCUGCAGCGUAGACUCUUCGGGGUUAGAUACAUUUGUGCUAAGUUAUAGCUUUUUAUAGACAACUUGUUGACUAUAAUUAGUCUUGUAGCUUACUCGCUUAUGCUAUUUUACCUACGCUUAGGAUGUUGACGCAUGAGAUAUACGC
rnacentral:rRNA from 1 species